UUUAUGCUCUGCUAACCUAGAGGUCCUAGUUACAAAGAAUACAAAGAAAGGCAUGUUUCCACCAGGAGACACAGCACUAAUCCCACUGGACUGGAAGUUAAGACAAAGAAUGCAAAGAAAGGCAUGCUUCCACCGGCAGACACAGCACUGAUUCCAUUGAACUGGAAGUUAAGACCAAUGCUCUGCAACUUCGGGCUCCUUCUGCUUCUGAAUCCAUAUGCAAAGAAGAGAGUCCCUGUGCAGCUGGGGUGAUGGAUCCUGGCUUCUAAGAAGAAAUUGGCCUAUACUACUCCACAGUGGAGACAGCACAUGCCUUCCUCACAUAGCCCUGUUCCUCUGGGUCUUCCAUCAUGAAGCUUCUUGGACGGAAUGUGCUUCCUCUUUGAAGAGUG
rnacentral:lncRNA from 1 species